rnacentral:rRNA from 1 species
UCGCCUCUAGUUGCCAGCAUUCGGUUGGGGCACUCUAGAGGGACUGCCGGCGACAAGUCGGAGGAAGGUGGGGAUGACGUCAAAUCAUCAUGCCCCUUAUGACCUGGGCUACACACGUGCUACAAUGGGCGGUACAAAGGGCUGCGAACCCGCGAGGGGGAGCGAAUCCCAAAAAGCCGCUCUCAGUUCGGAUUGCAGGCUGCAACUCGCCUGCAUGAAGCCGGAAUCGCUAGUAAUCGCGGAUCAGCAUGCCGCGGUGAAUACGUUCCCGGGCCUU